GUGAGGAAUAUUGGUCAAUGGGCGCAAGCCUGAACCAGCCAUGCCGCGUGCGGGAAGAAGGCGCUACGCGUCGUAAACCGCUUUUGUCUGGGGGUAACCGCAGGGACGUGUCCCUGCCUGCAAGUACCAGACGAAUAAGGGUCGGCUAACUCCGUGCCAGCAGCCGCGGUAAUACGGAGGACCCGAGCGUUAUCCGGAUUCAUUGGGUUUAAAGGGUGCGUAGGCGGCCCGGUCAGUCAGCGGUGAAAGGCCCGCGCUUCACGCGGGAGCUGCCGUUGAUACUGCUGGGCUAGAAUCUUAGCGAGGCGGGCGGAAUGCGCAGUGUAGCGGUGAAAUGCAUAGAUAUUGCGCAGAACGCCGAUUGGGGAGCCAGCUCGCCAGCUGAGUAUUGACGCUGAGGCACGAAAGCGUGGGGAUCAAACAGGAUUAGAAACCCCUGUAGUCC
rnacentral:rRNA from 1 species